CACUCCACCCUUGCUCAGAUGAACCAGGAAGCCACUCUUUAAAGAAGUGAACAAAAAAGCAAAGACUUCAAGAAGGACUAUCAACACUCUGACAUCAUACGGAAUGGAAUAGACAGGGAAAAAAGAAAAAUCAACAACUUGCUGAAACCGAUCAUCCUCCGUUGAACAUGGUGCCAGCUUUACUCUUGUGUCUCCUGAGCGCCAGCAUCCAAGUAACGACAGCUGCGACCUCAAGCUCCACAGUACUGGGAACAACAGGUAGCCCAGCAUUAGAUCCCUCGAGUUCCCGAAUAUCUCUCCCCUCAACCACUUCCCCUUCUGAAAGUACAGCUACUGACCACAGUUUGACCACUGAAACCAGCCCCGGCACUUUGAGAGCCGUGACUCCCAGCAGUAGGGAGGAGACCACCAGCGCCACCGGUGCCAGGACCACGGCAGCCCAGACCAGACCAUCAUCGCUGUUUUUCACCACUGGCCACUCCACCAAAGCCACAACAACCGCCCCUGACCCUUCACAAGGACAAACGUCCACGACAGAGUUGGUCACUGUGUUGCCAGCUGAAAUCACAAGUGUGAGCAAUGCCACCCUCCAUGUUGAAACAGAGAGGGACCCCCUUGCAUCCCUCACGACCAUGUCAGCCACAACUACAACCACGGGCCCCUCAACGGCUACGAUGAGGACGCCGACCACAAUGGCCAGCACUCUCGCAAUGACAACCAGCUCUCUGAAGGCUACGAGUGGCCCUUCAACCACGGAGCCCACCAGCGGCACCACCAGCCCCAUUUCAGGAACCCCCGACCCGGCCAGCAGAAGGAUGUCAGAAGAGACCAGCUCCACAGUCCGGCCAUCAGCCACGCCAGAGAGAAAGGCCACUUUCGGUACAGCGGGAGGUCCUGUUCCUUCAUGGACGGGAACCUCUGGAGCAGAGCUGGUUUCUCCCUCACCGUCUCUUCCUGGAUUGGAAAGCCCCUCCACCCUCAGCCCCGUGGCUUUGACCGUCCCUCCCACCACUUCACCGAUGGAAGCCACAACUACAGUGCCAACGACUUCCCUCACCAGCACUACCAGUGGCAGGACCACGGCAACACAGACCAGCUCAACAUGGCUGUUUUUCACCACUGGCCACUCCACCGAAGCCACAACAACUGCCCCUGACCCUUCACAAGGACAAACGUCCACGACAGAGUUGGUCACUGUGUUGCCAGCUGAAACCACAAGUGUGAGCAAUGCCACCCUCCAUGUUGAAACAGAGAGGGACCCCCUUGCAUCCCUCACGACCAUGUCAGCCACAACCACAACCACGGGCCCCUCAACGGCUACGAUGAGGACGCCGACCACAAUGGCCAGCACUCUCGCAAUGACAACCAGCUCUCUGAAGGCUACGAGUGGCCCUUCAACCACGGAGCCCACCAGCGGCGCCACCAGCCCCGUUUCAGGAACCCCCGACCCGGCCAGCAGCAGGAUGUCAGAAGAGACCAGCUCCACAGUCCGGCUAUCAGCCACGUCAGAGAGAAAGGCCACUUUCGGUACAGCGGGAGGUCCUGUUCCUUCAUGGGUGGGAACCACUGGAGCAGAGCUGGUUUCUCCCUCACCGUCUCUUCCUGGAUUGGA
ensembl:lncRNA